rnacentral:rRNA from 1 species
UACGGAGGGGGCAAGCGUUGUUCGGAAUUACUGGGCGUAAAGGGCGCGUAGGCUGCUCGCUAAGUCGGGUGUGAAAACUCUGGGCUCAACCCAGAGCCUGCAUUCGAAACUGACGAGCUAGAGUUCUGGAGGGGAAAGCGGAAUUCCUGGUGUAGCGGUGAAAUGCGUAGAUAUCAGGAGGAACACCGGUGGCGAAGGCGGCUUUCUGGACAGAAACUGACGCUGAGGCGCGAAAGCUAGGGGAGCAAACAGG